CUUCUACAGGAGAACGCCGUGCGUUUGAGCUUGAACCUGAUAAGCCUGGCAGAAGCCUGAUGAACCCAGAAUGAGUGAGAUGUGAGACAGAGUCUUGUUCUGUCGUGCAUGCUGGCGUACAGUGCCACAAUCACAGCUCACCGCAGCUUCCAACUUCUGGACUCACAUGAUCCUUCUGCCUCAGACUUCCAAGUACUUGGGACUACAGUCACGAAUCACCACAGCCAGCUUGGAGUGACUUUCUAAGGGAUUCCAUCCAAGUUACCACAUUAUAUUUGUUAAUCACGUGUUCUUUGGCUUCUCUUGUUUGUGACAGUUUCUCAGACUUCUGUUUUGCUUUGUUCUCAAUAACCUUGACAGUUUUGAGGAGUAGUGAUAAGUUCAAUUACUUAUUGCCUCAGCUCAACAUCUUGUAGAAUUUAGGACUACAAAAAGAGAGGAAAAACAAAGGAAAGAAGAGUGGUUGUGGUAAUGAUUACUGCUGUGGUGAAAAUGUCCCCCAAAUUGGAUUGCGGUACAUUAAAAAAACAAUAACAAUAUAUCUAACAAAAACAAAGAGCCAUUAAUUUAAAAAAUGGAAGACAGAAAUGUCCAAGAACAUUCUCUUGGGGUUUGGAUCAGGACCCCUUUCUGGUAACAUCUUCCUGAUGAAUCCCAAAGAAGUGAUACUGAGGAGACCCCGGACUCAAAGGAAACAGACUGCAGCACUGAUUGGCUGACUCUGGAGCCAAGAAAACUUUCAAGUUACUUACAGCUUUUAUCAAUUGAGUAAAGUCUAUUCCUGUG
rnacentral:lncRNA from 1 species